AACCCAUGUUGAGGAUAUUUUCACAAGAUUUCCUUGAACCUUUCCCAUGUCUCAAAUAGAGACUCUAAUUCCAUUUUCACAAAGGACGAGAUCUCAUUCCUAAGCUU